rnacentral:misc_RNA from 1 species
UCCGAGUUGACCCCGGCAGUCUCCUAUGAGUCCCCACCAUUAUGUGCUGGCAACAUAGGACGAGGGUUGCGCUCGUUGCGGGACUUAACCCAACAUCUCACGACACGAGCUGACGACAACCAUGCACCACCUGUGCAGGGCCCCGAAGGACACCGUAUCUCUACGGCUGUCACUGCACGUUCAAGCCCAGGUAAGGUUCUUCGCGUUGCAUCGAAUUAAACCACACGCUCCGCUGCUUGUGCGGGCCCCCGUCAAUUCCUUUGAGUUUUAGCCUGCGGCCGUACUCCCCAGGCGGCUCACUUAUCGCGUUAGCUUCGACGCGGAGGGGGUCGAUACCCCCCACAUCUAGUGAGCAUCGUUUACGGCGUGGACUAC